AUGAAAAGGUGGACUAGGGAUGCGAGGGAUGUUCUCCCAUCACACCUGCAGAUAUACCAGCGAGACCAUGCUGGGAGCAGGACGAUGACGCAUCGGCACACAGCUUUGUACGUGCACGCGAUGGAGCUGGUUCGGCUGGGCAACGCAUCAAUAGAGGCAUACGAGAAAGGCAUGAAGAUAAUUAGGGAUGGGAUUGUUGCGUUGGCUGAAUAUGAUGAUCAGAGAGAUGGCUUGGCCUUGGAGGACAGGGUUCCUUUGGCAAACAUGGAGGCAAGGCAAUGCGAAGGGGCAACACCGGAAAUGGCUGGCCAUGGAGGAGAAAUGAAUGUGGAUACUUUGGCUGGCCUCGAUGCACCAGAGAGGAGGAGGAAACUUGGUCGACCAACGAGCAGCAGAGAAAAGGCGCCGUAUGAAGAGUUGAGUAAGAGAACCAGGUAUUGCAGCAUUUGCCGCGGAAAAGGGCACAAGAAGACGACUUGCCCGGAAAGAGGUGAUCUUCCAAAAAAACCGAGGAAAGAAGCUAAAUGCAGCAACUGCGGUGUUGCCGGUCACAGGCGGAACACCUGCACUAAUGCGGAGGCUGUUAAACUGCAGGCGUGCCCAUGA
rnacentral:rRNA from 1 species